GAUGAACGCUAGCGGCAGGCUUAAUACAUGCAAGUCGAGGGGUAGCAAGAUUGUAGCAAUACAAUUGUUGACGACCGGCAAACGGGUGCGGAACACGUACACAACCUUCCUACAAGUGGGGAAUAGCCCAGAGAAAUUUGGAUUAAUACCCCGUAACAUAGCGAUGUGGCAUCACAUUGCUAUUAUAGCUUCGGCGCUUGUUGAUGGGUGUGCGGCUGAUCAGAUAGUUGGCGGGGUAACGGCCCACCAAGUCUACGAUCAGUAGCUGAUGUGAAAGCAUGAUCAGCCACACGGGCACUGCGCCACGGGCCCGACUCCUACGGGAGGCAGCAGUAAGGAAUAUUGGACAAUGGACGCAAGUCUGAUCCAGCCAUGCCGCGUGAAGGAUUAAGGUCCUCUGGAUUGUAAACUUCUUUUAUAAGGGACGAAAAAAGGUCUUUCUAGAUCGUCUGACGGUACCUUAUGAAUAAGCACCGGCUAACUCCGUGCCAGCCGCCGCAGUAACAC
rnacentral:rRNA from 1 species